CCUACGGGGGGCAGCAGUGAGGAAUAUUGGUCAAUGGGCGAGAGCCUGAACCAGCCAAGUCGCGUGAGGGAGUACUGCCCUAUGGGUUGUAAACCUCUUUUGUCGGGGAGCAAAAGCCGGACGUGUCCGGCUGUGAGAGUACCCGAAGAAAAAGCAUCGGCUAACUCCGUGCCAGCAGCCGCGGUAAUACGGGGGAUGCGAGCGUUAUCCGGAUUUUUUGGGUUUAAAGGGGGCGCAGGCGGGUUUUUAAGUCAGCGGGAAAAUGGUGGGGGUCAAACCCGUCGAGCCGUUGAAACUGGGAGUCGAGAGUGGGCGAGAGGUACGCGGAAUGCGGGGUGGAGCGGUGAAAUGCAUAGAU
rnacentral:rRNA from 1 species